rnacentral:misc_RNA from 1 species
GGGGGUAGGAUUUCAAGUUUCUAAUAUGAUUUCACAUUCAAAUUGGAUGGUUAUUAAAAAGGAGAGAACUACCUUUUUGUGUAGCCCAUCCACAGAAACUAACAACUAGGAAGAAGAUGCAGCCGAGAGGAAGAAUGGCAGCUGUUCACUAUUUUACUCGCUUUCCAUUUUCACAACGGAAUGCCAAAUCUGCAGCGAACGUUGAUGACCAAUAUAACCUUCUAAAUGUAAAAUUUGUACAAGACUAAACGCCAUUGGGAGGCCAAAAAGAGCAACAAUCAAUUAAAUUACAAAAGCUAAUAGAAAUGUGUUAUAAUACAGCACACAUCGGCUUCCGCUUCUACACUCAUGGUUGUGGACAUAACAUCAUGAAGCUCGCUUCUACACUCAAUGGGUGUGGACACAACAUCAUGAAGCUGCAACAGUCCGAGCAGUGCUCCGUCCAAGACCAAGACC